AUGCAGUCGAGCGGACAGAAGGGAGCUUGCUCCCGGACGUUAGCGGCGGACGGGUGAGUAACACGUGGGCAACCUGCCCCUUAGACUGGGAUAACUCCGGGAAACCGGAGCUAAUACCGGAUAAUCCCUUUCUCCACCUGGAGAGAGGGUGAAAGAUGGCUUCGGCUAUCACUAGGGGAUGGGCCCGCGGCGCAUUAGCUAGUUGGUAAGGUAACGGCUUACCAAGGCAACGAUGCGUAGCCGACCUGAGAGGGUGAUCGGCCACACUGGGACUGAGACACGGCCCAGACUCCUACGGGAGGCAGCAGUAGGGAAUCUUCCGCAAUGGACGAAAGUCUGACGGAGCAACGCCGCGUGAGUGAGGAAGGCCUUCGGGUCGUAAAGCUCUGUUGUGAGGGAAGAAGCGGUACCGUUCGAAUAGGGCGGUACCUUGACGGUACCUCACCAGAAAGCCACGGCUAACUACGUGCCAGCAGCCGCGGUAAUACGUAGGUGGCAAGCGUUGUCCGGAAUUAUUGGGCGUAAAGCGCGCGCAGGCGGCUUCUUAAGUCUGAUGUGAAAUCUCGGGGCUCAACCCCGAGCGGCCAUUGGAAACUGGGGAGCUUGAGUGCAGAAGAGGAGAGUGGAAUUCCACGUGUAGCGGUGAAAUGCGUAGAGAUGUGGAGGAACACCAGUGGCGAAGGCGACUCUCUGGUCUGUAACUGACGCUGAGGCGCGAAAGCGUGGGGAGCAAACAGGAUUAGAUACCCUGGUAGUCCACGCCGUAAACGAUGAGUGCUAGGUGUUAGGGGUUUCGAUGCCCGUAGUGCCGAAGU
rnacentral:rRNA from 2 species